rnacentral:lncRNA from 1 species
GGCUAUUUCUGCGUGAUAACUUCUGGCAAUUCUGCCUAAGGCCCUGGCCAUGGCUUUACUGUAUGGUUCAAUGAAUUCAGUCCCUCUAAGCACUUCUGUCCCCUUACCAUGCCUCCUUUCCCUGCUAUUGUUGAGUAAUAGUCUCAGUUGCACUACACAAAGGUGGUUUCUCAUACUCUUACACCAGAUCUCCAGUUAUACACAUUCUCUCCUGGACUCCAUUCAUCAUCUCAUCCAAGGGGGACUUAAAGGCCAGCCUGAGUCUCCAAGGUCCAUUACUAAUGCAUGUGGGGAGAGAAUGAUUAACAGGCACUGCACUCUUAGAAGUGGACUCCUAAUCACACCUCUGUAAGAAAGAGCAACAGCCUGGCCUCUGGAACUUCUGGAAGAUUCAACAUUCAACCUUUGAAAUUCUCAGAAGUGUGCAGUACUUGAUUCCCUGUAUCUUAGUUCAUCCUGCUUAAAACAGGAUGCUCCCCGGUUUUUGCAAACGGAGUCCUGCAACUCUAUAAAAUAAACUGUAAUGACUCAGUACA